GUUUGCCUGUGGGGAUGAACAUCAAAUUCCAAAAACAAAAUGAAGCCAGCGGCCAGCCCACACCCCUGUGCCCUCCUGAUGAAGAUGCCCUGAGCUAGGCGGUUGACCCGCCUCAGAGUGAUGAAGAGAAGGUUUCUCGCCAUGUUGCCCAGGAUUUGAUUGGUGGAGUGACCAGUCCCAACCCUCCCUGCAAGGAAAACUGAGGACGUGAGUCUCUGGCAUUUUCAGCUUCUACUGUGAAGGGAAUUCUGCCUUCUAAAGACGGGGUUCCUUUAACAGACAGAGGAUCAGAUGCUGGAUGGCUCAAAAGAAUGAAAAUUGCCUUCUACAAUACCACCCUGCAAAGCUUCUUAAAAACACUGUUUUUUUUCUCUGACCCCCCAAGUGUCUUCCUUUCUCUUUCUCUCAGGUACUCCCUCUCUCUUUGACUCUGCACUCCUACCGUCUGCUUUUUUUACUGCCUUGUGGAGUUCCUUGAUUCCUUAGGGGGUGGUGGGGAAACUGAAUGCUUCCGCUUUAAUAAUUUUGUUCCUGCCACAUAUACAUGUGAGAGGGCCUAAAAUAUGUGUGCAGUUUUUACACAAGGGAUGUUGUGCUCUGCCCAAUGUUUGGCACCUUGCUUUGAACAGCAUAGAUCGGGGAUCAUUCCAUUUUCAUACAAACAGAGUGCUACCUUAUUCUCUUAGAUGGCUGAACAGUGAAUGAACCAUGAUUUCUUCUUCUUCUUUUUUUUUUUUUUUCCUGGAAGCGUGCUAGACGACGCACCAUGAUUUAUUUAGUACAUCUUCCCCUGAUUGACGUUAGGUUGUUGUCAGCGUUUAGUGACCGAAACAGUACUGCACCCUGAUGCAUAUGUAUUACUCGUCUGUGUUAAGUCGGGACGUUGCUUAGUCCAGCUGGAGGAGAAUUCUAGCCUUUAACACUCCUGGGUGUGAAGUCACAGUGGGCUGGGUGGGCCUCUCAGGGCCUGCUUCCAGAGAAGCCUCCGUAUGUCUUGUGGGUGGCUGUAGAACCUGGGAGUGAGGCUUGGCAGUAUAUCUGCAGUGAGAAAUGUCACAACCCAAACAGUAACUCAUACACAGAGCUUCACAUGUCUCAUUCCACAAGGAUCAGCAGCUGGACCAUUACCUGGAGCUACAGACCUGAUGAGA